ACGUCUAAGCAGUAAGGCUGAGUAUUAGGCAAAUCCGGUACUCGUUAAGGCUGAGCUGUGAUGGGGAGAAGACAUUGUGUCUUCGAGUCGUUGAUUUCACACUGCCGAGAAAAGCCUCUAGAUAGAAAAUAGGUGCCCGUACCGCAAACCGACACAGGUAGUCAAGAUGAGAAUUCUAAGGUGAGCGAGCGAACUCUCGUUAAGGAACUCGGCAAAAUGACCCCGUAACUUCGGGAGAAGGGGUGCUCUUUAGGGUUAACGCCCAGAAGAGCCGCAGUGAAUAGGCCCAAGCGACUGUUUAUCAAAAACACAGGUCUCUGCUAAACCGUAAGGUGAUGUAUAGGGGCUGACGCCUGCCCGGUGCUGGAAGGUUAAGAGGAGUGGUUAGCUUCUGCGAAGCUACGAAUCGAAGCCCCAGUAAACGGCGGCCGUAACUAUAACGGUCCUAAGGUAGCGAAAUUCCUUGUCGGGUAAGUUCCGACCCGCACGAAAGGCGUAACGAUUUGGGCACUGUCUCAACGAGAGACUCGGUGAAAUCAUAGUACCUGUGAAGAUGCAGGUUACCCGCGACAGGACGGAAAGACCCCGUGGAGCUUUACUGUAGCCUGAUAUUGAAAUUCGGCACAGCUUGUACAGGAUAGGUAGGAGCCUUUGAAACGUGAGCGCUAGCUUACGUGGAGGCGCUGGUGGGAUACUACCCUAGCUGUGUUGGCUUUCUAACCCGCACCACUUAUCGUGGUGGGAGACAGUGUCAGGCGGGCAGUUUGACUGGGGCGGUCGCCUCCUAAAAGGUAACGGAGGCGCUCAAAGGUUCCCUCAGAAUGGUUGGAAAUCAUUCAUAGAGUGUAAAGGCAUAAGGGAGCUUGACUGCGAGACCUACAAGUCGAGCAGGGUCGAAAGACGGACUUAGUGAUCCGGUGGUUCCGCAUGGAAGGGCCAUCGCUCAACGGAUAAAAGCUACCCCGGGGAUAACAGGCUUAUCUCCCCCAAGAGUUCACAUCGACGGGGAGGUUUGGCACCUCGAUGUCGGCUC
rnacentral:rRNA from 1 species